GAGGGUCCCCGGCCGGGGCCCAGACAUCCCUCGAUGUCCGCAGCAGCCACUUCAUUUCCACCCCAGAAGUAGCAGGGUGGGCCCGGGUGGGCCCGGGUGGCCCGGCGUAGGGGUAUAUCUGAGGGCGAGGUUCGAACUCGCGGUCCUUAGGGCCAUUGCGAGCCGCCUCACACCACUCGACCACCAACGUCGGGUUAGAAGAAAGAAGUUUAUCAAAGUGUAUGAGCC
rnacentral:lncRNA from 1 species